AAAUUGUUUGAAAAGUUUGGAUACCAUGAGGAUAAGGGUUCCAUAUUUAGUAAUAUACACAGUUUGGUCUAUGAUUGUCAAUAUGCGGAAGAAUUUGAAAAUGGCUGGAAAGUGAUGAUCGAAACGUUUAACUUGUCUGAUAAUGAAUGGCUGGCGGGUUUGUAUAAGAAUAGGGGACGUUAGGUAUCUUGCUUUUUGAAAACCACAUUUUGGGUAGGUAUGUCAGCAACUCGACGCAUUGAGAGUAUGAAUACAUUUUUUGAUGGUUAUGUACAUUUGAAGACAAUAUUGAAGCAAUUUGUUGAACAAUACGAACGGGCAUUGAGAAGUAAGGUUGAGAAAGAAUUUCAAGCGGACUUCAAGUCCUUCUCGCAAAUGGUGCCGUGUGCAACAAGAUAUGAAAUGGAGAAACAAUUCCAAGCAGUUUACACAAUUUCAAAAUUCAAGGAAGUUCAAAAGGAGUUCACAGGUAAGGUUUAUUGCGACCUCAUAUCUGUUUCGGAGGGACUAUCGGGGAUGACUUAUGAGAUACAAGAAGACGUAAUGCAUGACGGUUCGAAGAAAAAAACCUUUUUCGUCUCAUCUCAAAGAGACAAAUGUGAAAUCACUUACAGUUGUCACAAUUUUGAGUUUCGAGGGAUUAUUUGCAGACAUACUAUUGAAGUAUUGGUCUGUAAUGAUAUCAAAUCAGUUCCAGAAAGGUAUAUAAUACGGAGAUGGCGGCGAGAUGUCAGUAGAGCCCACACGAGGGUAGCAGAGCAUUAUGAUGGUAUGGUUAGUUCUCCCGAACAAUUGAUGUACGACAAAAUGUGUCAACGUUUUGCUACAUUGGCGAACAUGACGAUAGACGAUGAAGUCAAAUCCAAUGUCAUAAUUGAGUGGAUUGAUAGUCAAUGUAAACAAGUGAUGACGUUGAAGUCAAGUACUAGUAGUAAUAUCUUGUCCCCGCAUAUUACUCAAACAUCAUCCGAGUGUAGAGCAUCACUGGAUAUUGGAGGCGGUAGCAUCAGGGAUCUAUAAUGUGCGAAAAGAAAAGGUGCCCCUAGGAAACUUCGGAAGAAGAGCCAAUUGGAAUUGAAUAUGAACAGAGUUAAGGUAAUGCCCAUAUUUUGGUACCCAAAUGUUGUAAAGUUAUUGUAGAGAUAAUGUCUAAUACCAUUCCUUGUUUUGUAGCCAACUUCGAGUUCAACGAAGGGAAAGAAACCGAAGGUAAGCAAGUAGUACGGGAAAUGAUGCACCCAUCUUUCAGUCACCUCAUCAAUUACACAUGCAGCUACCUUUCUCAUAUACGCAUCUCCUUAUGGUUAGUACUUAGCUUAUGGUUUAAUUGCAACGAAAAUAUAAGAUGUGCUGAUAAUGUUAUUUCAUGUAGGGUGGCAACCUAAAUCUUCAAUUCAUACAACACUUACAGUCCACAUGUGUCAACCCUCCAUCCUCAACAUAUCUUUUAUUCAACAUGCAAGGUAACAUAGUUGUUAGAUAGAACAUAAUAGUUUACAAACAUUAUUCAUUACGUACAUUCAUUACUAUAUAAUAAACAACCUUAAGUGAAGUUGACAUAUGAAGGUAUGGCUACAAGACAUAUGAAUGAUGUUGUUGACAAUGAAACACGACAGUUAGAUAAUCACCUUGAUGGUGGAAACAUCAUCAAUCCCAAUAUAUGAGCUCUCGGCUGUGCUGUAACCAUAUGAAGUGAGUAAUUAUUUGCCAUAUAACUUCGUAGCAACGUGGAUAUUAUUCCACAAUGUGUCCAUUUUUUGCUAUUUUUGAUGUUUACAAUUAUAAUCAUGCAAUGGAUUGGAGAGUUUUCACUUUCUGUUUUGGAGGUUGGAAUCUUCAGGUCGUGUUACUUGGCUACUAUUGAUAAUUACUUUGUUAUUUUUUUUAAUUUUAUUUUACACUCAACUAUCGUGAGGCUCCAGAUGUGCGAGUUUCUUUUGAUUUGACAUCUUACAAGUGGCAGAUGCGUGCUUGCAUUUGUUGUCCUCAAAAUUCUUAUGGACUAUGAUUGUUUACGCUCCAGAUUUGCAGCAUUCAGUCCUACUAGCUCUAUAGUUUUAGCUUCCCAAUCCUUUUGGUUGAUUAGUUUAGUUAGAACUUAGAAUGUUGUUGUCCUAAUAUAUAUCAUAGCGUUGUUUUAAGACUUGUGAUUUUGUCUCUAUGUAUAUUAUAUGGAUAAGUAAGUGCAGCAUUUCUGUUAAAAUUAGUGUGAAUUUAUCAUUGAUUGGUAUUUGACAUUUCAUGUCUUCAAGCUGAUGUUUUUUCUAAUUUGCUAUUGUUUAACAAGCUUUCUCAUAUUCGUGGUUAGCCUUGUUGAACUUGAAACUUACCCUCGGUCACUUUUACCUGAAAGGUAAUUUGAGAUUUGGAUAUAAAGGUGGUUUUGGGUUUAUCGAUUUUGGGUUUAUCAGAUGUGUCUAGUGGAUUUUGUGUUUUAUUAAAUGGCUAGGAACAGUUAUCAAGAAAUGUUUUGUGAGACCUUGUUUUAGAAGAUUGCAUUGUGAACAACUCUGAGUAAGAGCAGGGAGUUUACAAGGAGCUGUGGAGAUCAUUACUAAUUGUGGGGAUGAAGAGUUGAAGGAAUUCUUGUCUAAGAAGAAUGAAUCAGGCGAAAUCAUGCUUUAUGUUGCUGCAGAAAGUGGUCGUAUUGGUUACUGCAUAGUCUGUUCCAUUUGCUUGAUUUUGUGAUCUAUCAACCUUGAAAAUCUGAUAUUAUUUAAUUAUGUUUCGGAUAUUAAUUACUUUUACUACCAUUUUACUCUUGGAAAUUUCAGCAAGAAUGAAGAAGAAAAAAGCUAGUUAUUUUUCUCUUUGAUUUCAAUGCCAAGCGGCUGUGAUUGUUCGGGUAUCUUGAUGAACUGUAAAU
rnacentral:lncRNA from 1 species